rnacentral:lncRNA from 1 species
UAUAUCUUGAGCCUCCAAAUUCGUCGUAAAACAUAGUUAGUGGUGCUAUAUGCUAGAUAGUUGUAUUAUAAACAUCCCUUCCCAUAACCCUUUGAUUGUAGCUCUCAUCCAAACAUAAGAUAUCCAAUGAGCCAUUUUGCUUCAUCAUAUUGCUCACAUGGAUUAAUUCUAAAGGAUAUUAGCAUUAUAGCAAAUUGGUCUUCUACAAAUUAAAAGAAAACUAA